GUUAGGAAUAUUGGACAAUGGGCGCAAGCCUGAUCCUGCCAUGCCGCGUGAGUGAUGAAGGCCUUCGGGUUGUAAAGCUCUUUAGCCGAUGAUUAUAAUGACUGUAGUCGGAAAAUAAGCCCCGGCUAACUUCGUGCCAGCAGCCGCGGUAAUACGAAGGGGGCGAGCGUUAUUCGGAAUCACUGGGCGUAAAGCGUGCGUAGGCGGCUUUGCAAGUUGGGAGUGAAAGCCCAGGGCUCAACCCUGGAAUUGCUCUCAAAACUGCAAGGCUCGAAUUCGGGAGAGGAUAGCGGAAUUGUCAGUGUAGCAGUGAAAUGCGUAGAUAUUGACAGGAACACCAGUGGCGUAAGCGGCUAUCUGGACCGAUAUUGACGCUGAGGCACGAAAGCGUGGGGAUCAAACAGGAUUAGAUACCCUUGUAGUCC
rnacentral:rRNA from 1 species